GAUGAACGCUGGCGGCGUGCUUAACACAUGCAAGUCGAACGAACCUUCGGGUUAGUGGCGGACGGGUGAGUAACGCGUGAGAAUCUGCCCUCAGGAGGGGGACAACAGCUGGAAACGGCUACUAAUACCCCAUAUGCCGCGAGGUGAAAUGAAUUUCGCCUGAGGAUGAGCUCGCGUCUGAUUAGCUAGUUGGUGUAGGUAAUGGCUCACCAAGGCAUCGAUCAGUAGCUGGUCUGAGAGGAUGAUCAGCCACACUGGGACUGAGACACGGCCCAGACUCCUACGGGAGGCAGCAGUGGGGAAUUUUCCGCAAUGGGCGAAAGCCUGACGGAGCAACGCCGCGUGAGGGAUGAAGGCCUCUGGGCUGUAAACCUCUUUUAUCAAGGAAGAAGAUCUGACGGUACUUGAUGAAUAAGCCACGGCUAAUUCCGUG
rnacentral:rRNA from 1 species